CGUCCAGGUUCCAGGAUACAGUGAGAACAUCUGUGGUCCCAUGAUGCUGGGCAGAGUGAAAAUGAACUUGGAGAAUAAUGACUAUCAAACAGUGCGAGAGUUUAUCACAGCUAUUGAAUAUGUUUUCCACCACUGCACCGCCAACAGGGAUAAUGACUUCAGCAGAAUGACCUUUAGGCUCAAGGAACUGUUUGAAACGGUCUUUAAGCCCCUGUAACAUCACACCUUAAAAAGAAGUCACAAUUUAUGGUAACAUUUGUGUGUAUUGUACAGAAAUUAUUAAAAAAAAAAAUAUAUAUUUAGACAACAUUACGAAGGCGUUCAGUUAUAAACAAUUACUUACAGUGUAUUCAACUCACCACCUUUUGAAAAAAGGGGUUUAAUUCCAAGUAUGCAAUGUACAUGACUGGUCCAAAACCAAUUAGUUUUUGUUGUUGUUCCUGUUGUUGUUUGUUUUUUGCAUUGAAUGUGGUGAGGUGGGGAAUAUUUAUCAGUAUUCUUCUUAUUAAGGUAUAAAUAAAAUAGAGUUUCAGUCAUUAGGCUGAACUGACAGUGCAAAAUAAUCAUCCAAAGAAAUUGAUGGCCCUCCUUUACCUAGACCAAUUUGCAGCACAGCCCAUUACCAUCAGCAAAAGUAUUACUGUAUAUUGUUUUUGUGAAUGUUUCAUCUGUUGUUUUUAUAGUUUGAUUUUUAAUCAGAUCCACACUUUAUCCCUCAUCUCUCAUUUCAUCCUGCCAAAAAAUAAAUAUGGCACUACCCUGGCUAAGUUUUUCUGUGUCAAGAGUGUGUAGGAGGGAGAUACCAACCAGACAGCUCAAGGU